UACGUAGGGUGCAAGCGUUAAUCGGAAUUACUGGGCGUAAAGCGUGCGCAGGCGGUGAUGUAAGACAGAUGUGAAAUCCCCGGGCUCAACCUGGGAACUGCAUUUGUGACUGCAUCGCUGGAGUGCGGCAGAGGGGGGAUGGAAUUCCAGGUGUAGCGGUGAAAUGCGUAGAUAUCUGGAGGAACACCGGGUGGCGAAGGCGGCAUCCUGGACCGGCAUUGACGCUGGAGGCGCGAAAGCUAGGGGGAGCAAAACGGGG
rnacentral:rRNA from 1 species